UGCGUCGAGCGAACAGAUGAGAAGCUUGCUUCUCUGAUGUUAGCGGCGGACGGGUGAGUAACACGUGGGUAACCUACCUAUAAGACUGGGAUAACUCCGGGAAACCGGGGCUAAUACCGGAUAAUAUUUUGAACCGCAUGGUUCAAUAGUGAAAGACGGUUUCGGCUGUCACUUAUAGAUGGACCCGCGCCGUAUUAGCUAGUUGGUAAGGUAACGGCUUACCAAGGCGACGAUACGUAGCCGACCUGAGAGGGUGAUCGGCCACACUGGAACUGAGACACGGUCCAGACUCCUACGGGAGGCAGCAGUAGGGAAUCUUCCGCAAUGGGCGAAAGCCUGACGGAGCAACGCCGCGUGAGUGAUGAAGGUCUUCGGAUCGUAAAACUCUGUUGUUAGGGAAGAACAAAUUUGUUAGUAACUGAACAAGUCUUGACGGUACCUAACCAGAAAGCCACGGCUAACUACGUGCCAGCAGCCGCGGUAAUACGUAGGUGGCAAGCGUUAUCCGGGAAUUAUUGGGCGUAAAGCGCGCGUAGGCGGUUUCUUAAGUCUGAUGUGAAAGCCCACGGCUCAACCGUGGAGGGUCAUUGGAAACUGGGAAACUUGAGUGCAGAAGAGGAGAGUGGAAUUCCAUGUGUAGCGGUGAAAUGCGCAGAGAUAUGGAGGAACACCAGUGGCGAAGGCGGCUCUCUGGUCUGUAACUGACGCUGAUGUGCGAAAGCGUGGGGAUCAAACAGGAUUAGAUACCCUGGUAGUCCACGCCGUAAACGAUGAGUGCUAAGUGUUAGGGGGUUUCCGCCCCUUAGUGCUGCAGCUAACGCAUUAAGCACUCCGCCUGGGGAGUACGACCGCAAGGUUGAAACUCAAAGGAAUUGACGGGGACCCGCACAAGCGGUGGAGCAUGUGGUUUAAUUCGAAGCAACGCGAAGAACCUUACCAAAUCUUGACAUCCUUUGACCGCUCUAGAGAUAGAGUCUUCCCCUUCGGGGGACAAAGUGACAGGUGGUGCAUGGUUGUCGUCAGCUCGUGUCGUGAGAUGUUGGGUUAAGUCCCGCAACGAGCGCAACCCUUAAGCUUAGUUGCCAUCAUUAAGUUGGGCACUCUAGGUUGACUGCCGGUGACAAACCGGAGGAAGGUGGGGAUGACGUCAAAUCAUCAUGCCCCUUAUGAUUUGGGCUACACACGUGCUACAAUGGAUAAUACAAAGGGCAGCGAAUCCGCGAGGCCAAGCAAAUCCCAUAAAAUUAUUCUCAGUUCGGAUUGUAGUCUGCAACUCGACUACAUGAAGCUGGAAUCGCUAGUAAUCGUAGAUCAGCAUGCUACGGUGAAUACGUUCCCGGGUCUUGUACACACCGCCCGUCACACCACGAGAGUUUGUACACCCGAAGCCG
rnacentral:rRNA from 2 species